AGCCAUUGUAGACGUUAUGGAUUUUGCAAGUUUAUCAGCAGGUUUAUUGCCUUCCCUUUUAAUCCAUUGAAUCUUGAUUUCUUGAAACUUCUGUAUCCACCAUCUGAUUUCCCUUGUCCAAUUAUACAUUGCAAAGUUGAGACUCUUGUUAUUGAUAAUGUCAACGGCCUUCUUGCAGUCACUCUCAAAAAUAAUCUUUCUGUGCCCCUGAGCCCAGCAAUGCUGCAGAGCCAUUAAAAUAGCCUGUAAUUCACUUUCCAGUGCUGUACCGACUUUACCACCCCUAGCUUAUGCAGCUCCUAUAAAUUGUCCUUCCUCAUUACGAAGGACCCAACCUGCUGUAGCCCCUAUGAAAGCUUGCUCAAAUUCAAAACGAG
rnacentral:lncRNA from 1 species